rnacentral:rRNA from 1 species
GCUUAACACAUGCAAGUCGAGCGGGCAUAGCAAUAUGUCAGCGGCAGACGGGUGAGUAACGCGUGGGAACGUACCUUUUGGUUCGGAACAACACAGGGAAACUUGUGCUAAUACCGGAUAAGCCCUUACGGGGAAAGAUUUAUCGCCGAAAGAUCGGCCCGCGUCUGAUUAGCUAGUUGGUGAGGUAAUGGCUCACCAAGGCGACGAUCAGUAGCUGGUCUGAGAGGAUGAUCAGCCACAUUGGGACUGAGACACGGCCCAAACUCCUACGGGAGGCAGCAGUGGGGAAUAUUGGACAAUGGGCGCAAGCCUGAUCCAGCCAUGCCGCGUGAGUGAUGAAGGCCCUAGGGUUGUAAAGCUCUUUUGUGCGGGAAGAUAAUGACGGUACCGCAAGAAUAAGCCCCGGCUAACUUCGUGCCAGCAGCCGCGGUAAUACGAAGGGGGCUAGCGUUGCUCGGAAUCACUGGGCGUAAAGGGUGCGUAGGCGGGUCUUUAAGUCAGGGGUGAAAUCCUGGAGCUCAACUCCAGAACUGCCUUUGAUACUGAAGAUCUUGAGUUCGGGAGAGGUGAGUGGAACUGCGAGUGUA